rnacentral:rRNA from 1 species
UACGUAGGGGCCUAGCGUUGUCCGGAAUUAUUGGGCGUAAAGAGCUCGUAGGCGGUUCGGCAAGUCGGAUGUGAAAUCUCCACGCUUAACGUGGAGGGGCCAUUCGAAACUGCUGUGACUCGAGUCCGGUAGGGGAGUGUGGAAUUCCCGGUGUAGCGGUGAAAUGCGUAGAGAUCGGGAAGAACAUCGGUGGCGAAAGCGCUCUACUGGACCGCAACUGACACUCAGGGACGAAAGCUAGGGGAGCGAAUGGG